UACGGAGGGUGCGAGCGUUGUCCGGAUUCACUGGGCGUAAAGGGUGCGUAGGCGGGUCUUUAAGUCAGGGGUGAAAUCCUGGAGCUCAACUCCAGAACUGCCUUUGAUACUGAGGAUCUUGAGUCCGGGAGAGGUGAGUGGAACUGCGAGUGUAGAGGUGAAAUUCGUAGAUAUUCGCAAGAACACCAGUGGCGAAGGCGGCUCACUGGCCCGGUACUGACGCUGAGGCACGAAAGCGUGGGGAGCAAACAGG
rnacentral:rRNA from 1 species